CAUACCAGCCUAACCCUAAUUACCCUUCUCCCUCUCUCGUCCCAACCAGCCACCGCCGCCGCCACUUCACCUUCCUCCUCGCGCUGCUCCAUAUCGACGGCGCCAGCGCCGAACCACCACACGCCGGGCCACUCCCCACCUUCCCUGGCCCAAACCCCUCCCAGUCAACCCCACGCCAUGCCCCUCUCCAUUCAUAUCGCCCCAUCGAGCUAUGGCAACCCAAUCCUACCCCUGGAUCUGAGGCGGCAGUGGUGGCAGCGGGACCAACUGCCAGAUUUGGACGUCCCUAAGGUCGCUGGUGGCGCGCACUGACCCAACUCCAUCUGGCAGCGAGCGGAGCUAGGGUACAGGAGGUGGAGACAAGGCCACAGAUCCAGAGUACAUCGGGGGCCCUUGUGGCUGGUGCCAAUUGUUCGUCAGCCGCGCCACCAUUGGUCCCCUCCGUCGUCGCGGCCAUCUUCUCCAUCCAUGGUGCACAGCCUCCACACGUCGCAGUUCACCAUCUCCAGUCGGCAAGACCCAAAUCAUGUGUGGGCAAUUAUCUAGGAAGGACAUAAAAGGAAAUUCAAGUUACUACACAACAAGGUCCACUUGAAUACUGGGACGGGCUCCUUUUUCAAGUUAUUAUAAAUGUGGUUGACUCAUGUUUAUCAAAACAGAAACAAGGUGGUUUCUGAUCACAAAAUCAUUUGACGCAAGAUUACACGGUGUUAUUGUAUAUUGCUAAAUACUAGUAAUAAUGUAUGUGCAAUGCACGUUUAUAUUAGGUAGGAUAUUAGUUGCACGUUUAUAUUAGGUAGGAUAUUAGUUGCACGUUUAUAUUAGGUAGGAUAUUAGUUGCACGUUAUAUUAGGUAAGAUAUAUCUGUUGCACGUUGGUAUUUGGUAAGAUAUCAAUUACUUUUUCGCGGGAAUGGUAGGAUAUUAAUUACAUGGAAGAUUUCAAGGGAUAGCGUUGAGUCAAAAUGUGUUUAUAACCAAUGGCAGUGGUGGGUAAUUAGAGUGUUAAACGUGUUUGGUGCUCAACAUUGGAGCGAUUUGAACCGCUAGAUAACAUGAUUUGACAGGUGAGAUGGUUUGGAUUUGCCCAUUUGGGUCUUUUUAUAUUGGUAUAGAUAAGAAACACCAAUACUUGACAUGAUAUGCUUUGUUGCUUAUAAUUAUUUUGAUCAAUAAGUAAAUCUCGUUUAAAAUUUUGUAUCGCUUCGGAGGAUAUAGUAGAUUUACUGUUUGUGCUGCUAGAUUAGUCAAGUAUUUUCCUAUUAAGUUAAAUAAAUAUUUGUGUCUUUGUUUUGAAAUAAGUAACAUGCGCCAAAAUAAUUUUGUAUUGAAAUUUAGUAGUCUUGGUAGGCUGUUUGAAAUGUGUUGUAUAAUCAAAAUAUUGUAAGGAAAAUAAGUACUUUUUUCUAUAUGCAUGUACGUAUAUGGCAGAUCCUGAUCAUGCACAGAGGCACAUCGUUGAGCAUAGCUUUCACUUGCACUGUUAGUAAGAAAAAAGCUUACAUUGCAAGUAUAUUUUGGUGUUAAGAGUGUAAUUUACACAUUGCAGUGAUAAAGCUGCAAAGACGUGCUUUGUUGCAUGUUUCUCUUGUAUGUAUGCCCAUGCAUGCAUUGAAUCAUGCAGGCAACUUCUCUUGUUGUGGAUUAGAUACACACAUUCGAGCUUAAUUAGUAGCUGCAGUGCAUGUCGACAUUGCGGACCGGCGUGCUGCCGCCCAGGCCAGCGAGUUUGAACCGUGACUUGGAACUUUUAAUUUUUAGAUAGAGCCUCCAAUUACAUUAUCAACGUGGCUCAGCAAUGUGGCUUGGCUUAUUUAUUAGUCUCUAGGCACAAGGGAGAUACUAACAGAAAUUAGUGGAGUUGCAUGAAGAGAUGCAUGUCCUUGUAGAUUAUGCCUCCUACGGCCAGGUCCUACCAGUUUGAUUGUUGAUUGUACUACAUCCAGAUUCUAACUGUUCGUUUUCAGGGUGACUUGAACUUUUAUAUGAUGCAGAUUGCAAGGAGUUCGGUACCUUCACAAAUAGGAAUGAGUAUUCUAGUAAUAGGGGGCCAUAUUUAGUUCCUAAUCGUAGAUGGCCUGUUUUUUAGAUGCAUACCAUGUAGUAUAUACUUCUACCUUAUUUAUAAACUGACCAGUCUCCAUCGUUAAGUUUGACAGCAUAAGGUUGAAAAAUCUUCAGUGUUCCUUUUCUUUUGCUUUAAUAAUAUAAUAGAUAGAUGCUGUCAAUAAGUUGUCACUUUUCGAUGAUGUGGUUUCUAAAAUAUGUCUUUGAACUGUUUGGUACUAGGUUACUCCUGAUUAGUCAUGGAUGUUGUGUUGUUGCAAUGAGAAACGAUUGUUCAUUAAUCAAACACAAGCAUUCCUUGGCAUAACUUCUAUAUAGGUUUACCUCCACCUCUAGAGUGAGGUUCAGAUCAUGUGAAAUAAAAAUGGUGGUUCUACUAUUGCUAUUGUUGUAAUCAACUUGCCAUUUUGUAACAAAAUCGUAUUGUUUGUUACAGGUUUCCUUGGUGGUGAGAGCGGCAAAAGAAGUUUGAGAAGCAGAGGUGAAUUUGAUGAAUAAGAGGGUCUUUACAAUGUUGUAUAUUUGUUGUAAUUUGGAGUAAUUCUUACCAAGGGUGUGAACUGAUGUUGGACGUGUUCUUGGGCCAUCAUAUUUUAAAAGGCCUUUACAUAGUGAAAUAAAAUUUGUGAAAUGUGCCAAAUUAUGUGCCUGUUCGAUGGAAAGUAAUUGUGUUGUGAAA